CACUUUCGGAUAGAGAAAGAUACAAAAUUUUUCCCGGAUUGGUUCACUUAAGAAUAUCUUUAAGUCUAUUAGCAUCUUUCAUUCAAUAAUUAGUAGUACAAUGUCUGGCAUAUGGUAAGAGCUCAGUUGGUGAUCUAUCUGUUAUUAUUAGUUUUUAUUGUUCUUGUUUACUGCAGAUUUAUUAGUGACAGUGGUAGAAGUCAUAGCAGCUGGGAGUUUCAAAAUGGGCAGUGAAAGAAGAAGAGCAAGUAUGGGAGAAGGGAAAAGUGCUCUUUCAAAGAAGACUGUAAGCUGAUCGUGGGGAGAAAGGAGGAGGUCCUGGAACUGAACAAUGACUUCCCUGAGUCACCUCUCCUGGUUUCAGUUGUUGGCAUCAUCACCAGCUCUUCUCAGUGACUACACCAUCCACACCGUGCUCUCAACUGGUCAAACAGAUCCCUGGAUUUUUUCUUCGAAUCUGUAGCUCAUGACUUCAGGAUUGCUUGGAAGAGAAAAGUAUGAAUGGAGAAUGAGAGGUAUUAAACAUUAAUGACCAUUCCUAUAAUGAGGGGCAAGAACGGCUCUCGGCAGUAGAGCUGCCCAUUCAUGUGGGUAGUGUUGGAUUUUCAACAGCAGCAUGCUUCACCACUUUUUUUUCCUGCUCCUUUUAUCCCUCUGAGAAUCUUCAGCCUGAAGGUACACUUGGCGUGAAAACUCCAGUUUGGCUUUUCCUUGGGUUUGAUGCAGAGGUAACUGGUGCAAAUAAAAACCUAAAUAGAAAGUCUUGGGAAGGGACCCCAGGGAAAAAACUUAAAAAUAGAGCAGAAAGCUCUGGGUUUUGUUGUUGUUUGUUUGUUGUUGCUUGUUUGUUUUUUUUAAAUUGGGCAACAAGAGUAAACUUUAGUUGUAAUGAGUUGCCAAAAACUGUGCUCCAGUAUUUCAUUUUAUCUUAAAGAAUCUGAAUUUGGAUAAAUAGUCACUGUUUCUAACUACUGUGA
rnacentral:lncRNA from 1 species